rnacentral:lncRNA from 1 species
AUGGAAAGCGGGGCCUGUGGCUCAGGCCCGAGCCGCGGCGGCGGCGCUGCAGUCUCGGCGCUGGGCAGUAGAGGGCGCCGCUCGGUUGUGCUGCCNNNNNNNNNNNNNNNNNNNNGGGGCUCCCGGCGGGCCCGGGCCUGGGGCUAUGGCGGUGUGGUCGCUCCCUGCCCUCCGCAGCCCUCGGGCCGCCACGGGCUGGUGCUCCCUUCCAUGGGGCAGCGACCACUGGGAAUAAAGAACAAAGCCCUCUGCCUCCGGCGUCGGUAUUGCUUGUGCGCCUCCAACCUGUGCCUAGAGUCUGUUCCAGCGCUUGGGUCGGUGUUGGAAAACAACGAGCUGAGGCAGGCUGGACUCCAGAAUCACCUAGAUGACAUUACUACACUUGGAAGAUUUGCUGGAGGUCAUGAGGGGUAUGUGCAAGCAUCAGUUAGACUAGGCUGGAAGAAAAUGUCCAAAUGUCUCUACAAAGGAACAGGCACACCUUCUUUGAAGGAACACUCCAUGGACUCAGGAUUUCCUUCCUCCCUUAAAAGGACUCAAGAUUCCCUUCCUCCCUCUCCUGUCCUGAGAAAUUAAUGUUUACUGUGAGCUGUUUUUCUGGGGGCCAAAGAUGCAUUUUCUUGAUCUCUUUGAUUUGCCAACUACGAGGGUAGAAA